rnacentral:lncRNA from 1 species
GGGGAGUUGAGGGAGCCUCGCUUCGCUGGCACUGCACUACCUUUCAUGGUGUCCCUACUACACCCUAUCCAUAGCUGUGUAAAUAUUCUCUUUAUUAGUAUUUGCUCAAAUUAGCCAAUGGAGAUGUGUCAUCUGGUCCCUACAGAGAUGCUAACUACUACAUAAGCUGAGAGGAAUGAUCUAAUAAUUGAUGAUGCUAAAGAACUAGAGGGUAAUUAGAGGAGCAAAGUCCUUGAGAAGAUGCCAUAGAAUGGGAUGCAGAACACAAAUGGAAGGAUUGGCCUUUCGUGGGAGCACUGCAAUAGGAGAAAAGGCAGAAGUUGUAGCUUCAGAUGAAGACUGGCUGAAAGAUCUGGUGGUGAGAAGAUGGGGAAGUUCAAGUCUGCAGAGAGUUCAGUGCUAAAGACCCAUGCCCAAUUCAGCUGAAGACUUGCGGUUUCACUCUGGAGAGACAUUUUGUGCUAAGGAUUACUAGACUCAGUGGUACUAGAGAAAUUGUAUUGAAAGGAGGGGGACUAAAGAAAAUGAGAUGUCAGCGACAGGCUUCGUUCACCCUAGCAGAUGUGGAGGAUUUCUCUCUAACGAUCCAAGAGAAAAGCCACACAGCUACUAGCUGUUUAGGGGACCACAACAAAACGUCCCAUCUGGAUCACCCAUCGCACAGUGAAGCCUACCAAUUGGGAAGUCCAACUCACCAUUAUUCACAAUAGCCAAGACGCAGAAGCAACCCAAGUGCCCAUUGACUGAUGAGUGGAUAAAGAAGACGUGGCUAACUUCUUUACCUUGUGGAGAAAGAUGAAGCCAGCAUUGCAGAGGAACCACAGGAACCAAAUCCUUAAUAAUUAUACUGUAAAUAUGCGUGCCCGUCUCUCAAAGACGCCAAGCAGUAUUUGUGUUAGUUUGCUCAGUGAUCGCAAACGAGAAGCAGCAUCUGCCAAUCUUACGUUUCAAGGUUUACAUCACAGGUGGAAGGUGUGCGUAAUCUGUGGGAAACUACAUAAAUUCAAUCGUUCUCACAAACGAAAAACAUUUUUAUGCUGUGAAAGGAAUCCUUUUUCUGAAACUCGUGCUACAGUUUUCCCAGGUAUUUUCUUGUGUUGUGGUUUACUCUUGCCUCAAAAAUAAAACCCAAAGAAGCAGAAGAAAAGCAGUUUAUGUUCGUGGGUGACAUUUACCCUAUAUGACAGUGCUCCUUUCACUAAGAUUGCAGGCAGCCUUCACAGCGUUAGAUCGAUAUGGAAACUAAUUCAAAUGUUUUUGCGGUUGAAGUCAAAAAGUCAAGUUUAGUGAUACAAAUAAAACAAUGAACUCUAAUUCUAUGCAAAGAGAAGAUAUAUUCUAAUAGGGACACGUCCCAUCCCAUAGUAUGUGG